UACAGAGGUCCCAAGCGUUGUUCGGAUUUACUGGGCGUAAAGGGUGCGUAGGUGGCGAGGUAAGUUCGAUGUGAAAUCUCCGAGCUCAACUCGGAAAUGGCAUUGAAUACUAUCCCGCUUGAGGGUCGGAGGGGAGACUGGAAUUCUCGGUGUAGCAGUGAAGUGCGUAGAUAUCGAGAGGAACACCAGUGGCGAAGGCGAGUCUCUGGACGACUCCUGACACUGAGGCACGAAAGCUGGGGGAGCAAACAGG
rnacentral:rRNA from 1 species